rnacentral:rRNA from 1 species
GACAGAGGGUGCUAGCGUUGUUCGGAAUUACUGGGCGUAAAGGGCGCGUAGGCGGCUUGUUUAGUCGGGUGUGAAAUCCCGGGGCUCAACCCCGGAACUGCAUUCGAUACUGGCAGGCUAGAGACCGGAAGAGGUGGGUGGAAUACCCAGUGUAGAGGUGAAAUUCGUAGAUAUUGGGUGGAACACCGGUGGCGAAGGCGGGUCUCUGGGUAGUAACUGACGCUGAGGAACGAAAGCGUGGGUAGCGAACAGG